UUCAAAACUCCUUAUUAGAAAUGAAGAGAGGUUCUAAGCUUUUGAAAAAUAUAGAAGAAAUAGAGAAUUCAAAUGAAAACACCAAGGAGCUGAAUGAUGUUGUUGUUCAUGAUCACUGUCCUUUCUUUUUGUCCAUCUUCAACUUGGUCUUCCAAAUUACCAUGGCCUUUUAUAGGUUUCUAGGUUUCCGAGUUCAUCGUCCGAUUCUGUCGUCAUCGGAAGAUUCUUACCCCGUUGACUCACAACCACCGCCGACAACGGUUGACCCACCGAUUGAAGAUCCGGUAGGGGGAGGAAGAACGUGAGUUCGCUAGACGGAAUCCGCCGCCGCCACCGCCCCCUAGCAACGGCGGUGGUGGUCGAACGAACUGAUCACCAGGUGGCGGUGUUUUGUGGUCUAAUAUGGACGUCCGGUCGACAGCCACUUACUUACACUGAUCAUGAAUUAAUGAAAAAAUAUAUUUACCAUAUGAAUAAAUGUAUUUGACUUAAUAUAAUUAUUAUUCUUAGAUCGAAGCAUUGUGAAAAUAGAGAGAGAGAGCUCAUAUAAGUUGUUUAAAAUUUCAUGUUUAUUCUAUUUUAAUUUAUAGAUUCUUAUACCUUCCACUAGUUUCAUAUC